GAUGAACGCUGGCGGCGUGCCUAAUACAUGCAAGUAGAACGCUGAAGCUUGGUGCUUGCACCGAGCGGAUGAGUUGCGAACGGGUGAGUAACGCGUAGGUAACCUGCCUCUUAGCGGGGGAUAACUAUUGGAAACGAUAGCUAAUACCGCAUAAAAGUCGAUAUCGCAUGAUAUUGAUUUGAAAGGUGCAAUUGCAUCACUAAGAGAUGGACCUGCGUUGUAUUAGCUAGUUGGUGAGGUAACGGCUCACCAAGGCGACGAUACAUAGCCGACCUGAGAGGGUGAUCGGCCACACUGGGACUGAGACACGGCCCAGACUCCUACGGGAGGCAGCAGUAGGGAAUCUUCGGCAAUGGGGGCAACCCUGACCGAGCAACGCCGCGUGAGUGAAGAAGGUUUUCGGAUCGUAAAGCUCUGUUGUAAGAGAAGAACGAGUGUGAGAGUGGAAAGUUCACACUG
rnacentral:rRNA from 1 species